AGAUGACCUGGCAUUAGUCUAAUUGUAUAAAACUAAACAGUUCUCUGACUAAACUUUGAGGUAUCGACCCUUGAUACAUAAUAUAACUCCUAUAACUCUUGAGGACUUGUGGUGAAAUAAACACAUAACAAAUAAUAUUGGAACAUGCUAUGCUUUAUUCUGUUGCGGUCAUAUUGAGCAACUCAAAAACUUCCGGGUAGGUUGCUGAAGCGUAGAUUUCCUGCUUACAAGUGUGCGAGGCAGCCAAGUGUUUAUGGUAUAUGUAUGUAUGUAAGUCGUUGUAAUUGUAUACGUGUAAAAGCAGUUAGCAGUUAAAUCUACAGACCCGUCAGCCAAAGCAGUCAGUGGUUAAUGACGAAAACAGUUAAAAUUGCUCGACCAACAGCAAUAUGACGAUGUGAAAAAGUGGAAAAUGUGCAUGUAAGCAACGAACCGAUCCAUUUCUGGUUGAACACUCACCUGCAUGGUAUGAAUCUGUCAAGCGAUGUUGAUGUGGAGGCUGCUUCAAAGGAGUUGAAAAGAUUUCG